rnacentral:rRNA from 1 species
GAUGAACGCUGGCGGCGUGCUUAACACAUGCAAGUCGAACGGUGAAGGCGGAGCUUGCUCUGCUGGAUCAGUGGCGAACGGGUGAGUAACACGUGAGCAAUCUGCCCAUGACUCUGGGAUAAGCGCUGGAAACGGCGUCUAAUACUGGAUACGAGCUGCGAAGGCAUCUUCAGCAGCUGGAAAGAAGUUCGGUCAGGGACGAGCUCGCGGCUUAUCAGCUUGUUGGGGAGGUAACGGCUCACCAAGGCGUCGACGGGUAGCCGGCCUGAGAGGGUGACCGGCCACCCUGGGACUGAGAGACGGCCCAGACUCCUACGGGAGGCAGCAGUGGGGAAUAUUGCACAAUGGGCGAAAGCCUGAUGCAGCAACGCCGCGUGUGGGACGACGGCCUUCGGGUUGUAAACCUCUUGUAGCAGGGAAGAAGCGAAAGUGACGGUACCUGAAGAAAAAGCGCCGGCUAACUACGUG